GUGUCAGCAGCCGCGGUAAUACGUAGGAUGCGAGCGUUGUCCGGAUUUACUGGGCGUAAAGAGCGCGCAGGUGGCAUGUCAAGUACCAAGUGAAAUCUCCCUGCUCAACGGGGAGGGUGCUUUGUAGACUGGCAAGCUAGAGGACGGUAGAGGGGGGUAGAAUUGCUGGUGUAGCGGUGAAAUGCGUAGAGAUCAGCAGGAAUACCCGUGGCGAAGGCGGCCCCCUGGGCCGUACCUGACGCUGAGGCGCGAAGGCUAGGGGAGCGAACGGGAUUAGAUACCCUUGUAGUCC
rnacentral:rRNA from 1 species